CCCAGACUCCUACGGGAGGCAGCAGUGGGGGAUAUUGCACAAUGGGGGAAACCCUGAUGCAGCGACGCCGCGUGAGUGAAGAAGUAAUUCGUUACGUAAAGCUCUAUCAGCAGGGAAGAAAAUGACGGUACCUGACUAAGAAGCCCCGGCUAACUACGUGCCAGCAGCCGCGGUAAUACGUAGGGGGCAAGCGUUAUCCGGAAUUACUGGGUGUAAAGGGAGCGCAGACGGCAGUGCAAGUCUGGAGUGAAAGCCCGUGGCUUAACUACGGGACUGCUUUUGAAACUGUACAGCUUGAUUGCAGGAGAGGCAAGUGGAAUUCCUAGUGUAGCGGUGAAAUGCGUAGAUAUUAGGAGGAACACCAGUGGCGAAGGCGGCUUGCUGGACUGUAAAUGACGCUGAGGCUCGAAAGCGUGGGGAGCAAACAGGAUUAGAUACCCCAGUAUU
rnacentral:rRNA from 1 species